rnacentral:rRNA from 1 species
AUUGAACGCUGGCGGCAGGCCUAACACAUGCAAGUCGAGCGGAUGAAGGGUGCUUGCUCCUGGAUUCAGCGGCGGACGGGUGAGUAAUGCCUAGGAAUCUGCCUGGUAGUGGGGGAUAACGUCCGGAAACGGGCGCUAAUACCGCAUACGUCCUGAGGGGGAAAGUGGGGGAUCUUCGGACCUCACGCUAUCAGAUGAGCCUAGGUCGGAUUAGCUAGUUGGUGGGGUAAAGGCCUACCAAGGCGACGAUCCGUAACUGGUCUGAGAGGAUGAUCAGUCACACUGGAACUGAGACACGGUCCAGACUCCUACGGGAGGCAGCAGUGGGGAAUAUUGGACAAUGGGCGAAAGCCUGAUCCAGCCAUGCCGCGUGUGUGAAGAAGGUCUUCGGAUUGUAAAGCACUUUAAGUUGGGAGGAAGGGCAGUAAGUUAAUACCUUGCUGUUUUGACGUUACCAACAGAAUAAGCACCGGCUAACUUCGUG